UACGGGAGGUAGCAGUGGGGAAUAUUGCACAAUGGGCGAAAGCCUGAUGCAGCUAUGCCGCGUGUAUGAAGAAGGCCUUAGGGUUGUAAAGUACUUUCAUCGGGGAGGAAAAAACAAAACUAAUAAUUUUAUUUCUUGACGUUACCCGAAAAAGAAGCACCGGCUAACUCCGUGCCAGCAGCCGCGGUAAUACGGAGGGUGCUAGCGUUAAUCAGAAUUACUGGGCGUAAAGAGCACGUAGGUGGUUUUUUUAAGUCAGAUGUGAAAUCCCUGGGCUUAACCUGGAACUGCAUUUUGAAACUGAAAUACUAGAGUAUCGUAGAGGGAGGUAGAAUUCUAGGUGUAGCGGUGAAAUGCGUAGAUAUCUGGAGGAAUACCUGUGGCGAAAGCGGCCUCCUAAACGAAUACUGACACUGAGGGUGCGAAAGCGUGGGGAGCAAACAGGGAUUAGAUACC
rnacentral:rRNA from 1 species